CCUACGGGUGGCUGCAGUGAGGAAUAUUGGUCAAUGGGCGGAAGCCUGAACCAGCCAAGUCGCGUGAGGGAAUAAGGCCCUACGGGUCGUAAACCUCUUUUGCCGGGGAGCAAGGGCGGGGCCGUGUCCCGGCCCGGAGAGUACCCGGAGACAAAGCAUAGGCUAACUCCGUGCCAGCAGCCGCGGUCAUACGGAGGAUGCGCGCGUUAUCCGGAUUUAUUGGGUUUAAGGGGUGCAUAGGCGGAAUAUCAAGUCAGCGGUAAAAAUUCGGGGCACAACCCCGUCGUGCCGUUGAAACUGAUGUUCUGGAGUGGGCGAGAAGUAGGCGGAAUGCGUGGUGUAGCGGUGAAAUGCAUAGAUAUCACGCAGAACUCCGAUGGAGAAGGCAGCAUACCGGCGCCCAACUGACGCUGAAGCACGAAAGCGUGGGUAUCGAACAGGAUUAGAUACCCGGGUAGUC
rnacentral:rRNA from 1 species